GGUGGCUCAGUGGAAGAGCACUUGCCUUGCAUGCAUGAGGUCCUGGGUUCAAUUCCUCAGUACCA
rnacentral:tRNA from 1 species